AAAUGCUGAUAUAAAUCUGCUACUGUAGCUGAAAGGUGAGGCUGAGAGGCUGGGAACCGGAGGCUUGUGGUGCCAGGAGGGACCAGAGACUGAGGCUGGAGACCAGGGGCCUGCAGCACCGGACCAGAGGACCAGGAAUCUAUUUCUGGGGGAGCCAUGCUGAUGGAGGAGCCGUGCUGAAGGAGCUGCUGGAGGAGUCGUGCUGAGGGCCUGCCUGCUGGUGGAGAAGUCGUGCUGAGGGCCUGCCUGCUGGAGGAGCUGGUGGAGGAGUCGUGCUGAGGGCCUGCCUGGUGGAGGAGCUGGUGGAGGCCCUGCCUGGUGAAGGACGUCUGUCGUGGGACCAGGAAUCUGUCUGAGGAGAGCUGCUGGAUUCCUCAACGUGUUUCUGGAGCGGAGGCGAGCUGGUAGGGGAGCCGUGAAUCUGGAGGAUGACCAUCACUCUACCAACAAGGAUUACGUUGGGGCCAGACUCGCGCUGUUUGUUCCAGACCAGGACUCGGGCUGUGGUGAGCUGAUGGAGGAGCCAAGACUCUGGAGGACGACAUCACUCCACCAACCAGGAUCCUCACCAGGAAUCUGGAGGACUGAUGGAGAAGCCGUACAUCGGGAAGGCAAAUCCUGAGGACGACCAGGUCUCUACCAUCAAGGAUUCCUCGUCAGUUUGCAUUAUCUGGACAUAGUGGACUAGACACGCCUGAGCUGAACCUCACCUGAUCCUGUUUGGUCGGGGGUAGACACACCUGAGCUGAACCCGCCCUGAUCCUGACAUCCUGCUGGUCCCGUCUCCUCAGUUCAUCUGCGCCUCGUCCUCCAGAAGACCUGCUGAGCUCAGCAGUCUGAGGCUGAUGGAUCAAUGACCUCCAGUGGGAGUGAUCUUCUUGACCCCACAUGUAACCGUGUGCUUCCACACGCCUUUCCCUCACGUCUGUCACUAACCUCACUGCUUCACUACUCUCUACUGCUUCCUCUUCUUCCUUCUCUGUUGUUCGAACCUUUACACUGGAGGCGCGUCUUCCUGCCCUCAGAGGGUUCAGCGUUAGGGUUGAGAGUCAGGGUUUAGAGUCAGGGACAGAGCUGGUCAGGGAGGACUGCUUUUACACAAACCUCUUCACUUCCUUUCGGAAUGGUGGUGACAUUUUGAAAAGAUUCAUUUGGGAUAAUGUUUUCCUCUGCUUUCCUUUACAAAAUUGUAUUAAACUUCUGUCAACCAACUGUUUGUAACCAGACCAGGAAUCUAUUUCUGUGCAAGCCAUGCUGAAAGAGCUGAUGGAGGAGCACUGAUGGAGGAGCCGUGCUGAAGGAGCUGAUGGAGGAGCCGUGCUGGAGGAGCCGUGCUGAAGGAGCUGAUGGAGGAGCCGAGCUGAUGGAGGAGUCGUGCUGAAGGAGCUGAUGGAGGAGUCGUGCUUAAGGCCCUGCCUAAAUGAGGAGCUGUUGGAGGCCCUGCCUGGUGAAGGACGUCUGUCGUGGGCAAGACUUCCGCUGUUUGUUCCAGACCAGGAAUCUGUCAAGGAAUCUGUCUGAGGAGAGCUGCUGGAUUCCUCAACGUGUUUCUGGAGCGGAGGCGAGCUGGUAGGGGAGCCUUGAAUCUGGAGGAUGACCAUCACUCUACCAACAAGGAUUACGUUGGGGCCAGACUCGCGCUGUUUGUUCCAGACCAGGACUCGGGCUGAGGAGAGCUGAUGGAGGAGCCAAGACUCUGGAGGACGACAUCACUCCACCAACCAGGAUCCUCACCAGGAAUCUGGAGGACUGAUGGAGAAGCCGUACAUCUGGAAGGCAAAUCCUGAGGACGACCAGGUCUCUACCAUCAAGGAUUCCUCACACGCCUGAGCUGAACCUCACCUGAUCCUGUUUGGUUGGGGGUAGAUACACCUGAGCUGAACCCGCCCUGAUCCUGACAGCCUGCUGGUCCCGUCUCCUCAGUUCAUCUGCGCCUCGUCCUCCAGAAGACCUGCUGAGCUCAGCAGUCUGAGGCUGAUGGAUCAAUGACCUCCAGUGGGAGUGAUCUUCUUGACCCCACAUGUAACCGUGUGCUUCCACACGCCUUUCCCUCACGUCUGUCACUAACCUCACUACUUCACUACUCUCUACUGCUUCCUCUUCUUCUUCCUUCUCUGUUGUUCGAACCUUUACACUGAAGGCGCGUCUUCCUGCCCUCAGAGGGUUCAGCGUUAGGGUUGAGAGUCAGGGUUUAGAGUCAGGGACAGAGCUGGUCAGGGAGGACUGUUUUUACACAAACCUCUUCACUUCCUUUCGGAAUGGUGGUGACAUUUUGAAAAGAUUCAUUUGGGAAAAUGUUUUCCUCUGCUUUCCUUUACAAAAUUGUAAUAAACUUCUGUCAAGUGUUUUGUUUAUAUAUUAAAAUUCCACAUUUACUUCUACAUGUUUGGUGCGGUUCAUUUAAUUGUCCUUUAACUUGGUUAACGUCAAGCUAAACUCCUGCAAUACAUUAAAUAUACAUGAUUGUUAUUCAGCAAUGCUCACAUCAAAC
ensembl:lncRNA